rnacentral:tRNA from 1 species
GCCCAGAUGGCGGAAUUGGUAGACGCGCCAGCUUGAGGGGCUGGUGGCCUUUUUGGCCGUGCAGGUUCGAUUCCUGUUCUGGGCA